ACCAGAACUCCGAUGCGAAGCUCAACUUCGCAUGGCCACGUACCAGCAAAAAAUAUCUCGGUACUAUAACACCAAAGUCAAACUAAAAGUUUUUCGACCAGGAGACUUAGUUCUGAGAAAAACAAAAAUCUCAAAACCUCUAGAUCAAGAAAAGCUAUCUCCGAACUAGAAAGGAUCUUACAGGAUAUCAGAGACAAAC
rnacentral:lncRNA from 1 species